UCGGCUACUUGCCUCCUCAUCUCUGUACUUGAUUCAAGGUGGAAACCCUAGAAUUUGGGGGUUCUGCCAAGGUUUGAUUGAACUAGGGUUUUAUUUUAGAUCCCUUAACUCUUUCAUACUGACUUUGAGUCUCUGAACUGAGUUUGGACAUCUUUGUUUUCAUACAAUGCUAAACGUUUUGCUAAACUCUUCUACACUGGAUAUUUUCUAUCGAUUUACACGACAAUCUUCUUCCUUGCUCACAUGCUCCUUAUAUAUGAUGAAUUUUCCUCUAAAUGGUUUUCAAAUUUGCAAUUACUGCAAACUUCCUUCUGAAAUUAGCUUGAUUGAUUUCUUUCCAUCUUUUACUGAUUUCCUCUGUUACUCGACUUAAGUAAAACCCUUCUUCUUCUUUUCUGACUUGGUUCAUUCAUGCCAAAUCUUAGACCUUGUGAUUUACUGGCUGUUAAUUGACUCUCUUACAUUAUUUGCACAAACCGUGUACGGUCAAAACCCUAACCUUAAAUAACCUUUAUGUAUUUGCCCUCAAUUGCAUGCUUUACACAAAGUGUUUAUUCAAUUCCUUUCCUUAAAUGGUUUUACUCGUUUUGAAUCUGAAUUCCUUAAUUAAGGGAAGCCUUGUGUAAUUGAUUGACAAUCAGUUUUCAAACUAUUUUCUUACCUUAUUUCUACCUACUUUCUACACUAUAAAAGGCACGACCCUUUUCACAAACACACUCUUCAGACUUCACAAUUUCACAUUCUUUUUUGAACUCACACUUAUAGUAUUCUGUCUUCCUGUUUGCACUUUGGCUUUUACAAGACUACUGCUUUUUCUACUUAUUUCAUCGUAACUGGUAUGUCCUGAUUUAAGUUUCAGCAUCACCCCAAUGUGUUUACUUACAGUCUUUGUAUCCAUGUCUACUUUAUUAUUUUUUGUAGAGUUCGACAUUUAUCUUAUUAUGCCUAUGUUCUACUGCCUGUUUCUGUUGUGAAUCUUUGCUCCCUAUCCCAUUACCCCUAUAUGUUUGUAAACGGUGGCUUAGGGCACGACAAUAUGAGUUGUUGUCCAUGAACUGAGCUUUGAACCAAUGGGGUCUUAACCUCUAAACAGGCUGGAGGGUGUGCCAGCAUAUCCCAUUGCUGGGUAUGCCCAUCAGCCUGCUCUUCUUGUGAUCUCGCAAUCCCCCAUUCGCUAUAUCCCUAUGUGUACUAUUUCCUCUCCCUUUUUCCCCUUUCAGAAUUCUAUACUUACACUCUCUCCUAGUCUCUAAGUUCUGACCCCCUCUAGUGAGCCUUGCAUUGGGACCUUGAGUUCCCUCUGAACUUGGACACUUGAGGGCUGGCCCUUCCACACUGCACUUUGACUUAAUAUGGCGAUACAUUUGGAUGUAAGCACUGCCCAGAGUUCUUAUGAAACUCUUAGGGAACUCUGACACACCCAAGUGGUAGAAAGGCUUUGAAACAUGAUCUUUGGAGUUGGUUUACUUCAUACUUCAGAGAGGAAGUCUGAAUCAGGCUCUCCUUGGUUAUAAUUUUCAACUUCUGAUAUAUUUUCUUUACUUUAUUUUUUCUGGACUGUAAUAACUUUGUAAUGAACUAUUGGGAUGGCUAGUGAAAAGGGGGGGGGAUAACUAUGUAUGUAAAAGGGGUAGAUAUCCUACUUAUAGGGAAUUUCUGAUCUCUGCAUAUCACAUAGAUAUCCUGCCUAUAGGAAUUCUGCACUUUCAUAUGUAGAUACUAUGCCUAUAAGGAAUACUACACCCAUAUAAACAUCCUACCUAUAGUUUUCUGAAAUUCUGCAUUCAUAUGGAUAUCUUGCCUAUAGUUAAAUUUCUGCAUCUCUCAUAUAGAUAACAUGCUCAUAGUUAACUGGAAAUCCGAAUCCUACAUACGCAUCUGUCACUAGGUAAACCUCUUUAUAGGGAUUAAGUAACUAACUACAUCUAGAUAUCAUGUUUAUAUGCUUAAACGAAGUAAAACAUUUAGAUGUCGUACCUCUAGGAUUUUUGCACUCUUGCUAUGUUUGUAAAAGUGUCCAAAAUCAACAACACACAAAAAGCAUGCCUAUAGGAGCUUUAAUCGAAUUUGAACCGCUUCAUUUGCUUAUAAGUUUAAAACCGGUCACAAAUGACUUGUGCUCUUAUGCUAAAACUCGCCUUUCUUUAAUAACAAACGAUUUUUUUCUUAAACCAGUAUGUAUUCAAGUUUACUUCAUUGUUUCUAGAAUCAGUGACUUGUCUUUUUUUUCUUUCCUUUAUUUCUUUUACUGCUUUCCUUUAUUACUUCUUUAAAUUAUGAAGAAUUGUUGUAAUUACUUCAUAACGUGCAAAUACAUGACAACUUGUUUUAAUUAUUGCAUAAGCAUGUUUUCAACAUCAUAUUCCACUCGUGCCAAACAAAUGCCAUAACAACACUUAUAAUGAGUGGUUGCGCUCUUCCGAUAUUAUCACCCCCUAAAUCCGAAAAAGGCGUAUUUGCGGUAAAACCAGUCAAUCAACGGUGUAGUCGACAGUUCCGUACCUUUCCCCCUUGAGUUGUUAGCUAAAGAGUACCAGUCUGAAAUCCCAUAGAAACCUUACUCUGUUUAACUGCGCAUGCAUCAUGGUCAAACCUAGCCGAGUCAGUUGUGUUGUCCGCAUAAUGACUCUUUAAGAUAGCCUUGUCCAAAGUCCACUAGGUUUUCCCAAAACCCAAACGGAUACUACCACGUUUUGUGCAUUUAUUUGGAGAACUAAAUGCUUUAUGCUAAUUGUUGGUAUUAAAUAGUAGAGUCUAGUGGGGUAAGGGUCUAACCCUUUUGUCUUGCAGAAACAUGAGGCACGAGGUCCCCAACUUCGGUAUGGUUAGCACCCCCUCACUCUUGCUGGACUAGUGGAGGAGUCGUCCAUCAAAUGACCAAAUCAACGAGUGGAAAGGGAGGGCCGCCAAAGCUAGCAAAAAGUUGGAAUAUCUGGAGUACAGUCUGCUGGAAUUGGAAGGGAAAGUGAGGAAGAGAGUCACCGACUACUAGAGUGCUGAAGGAAAUGAAGGAGAACACAUGGCAGAAGCAUUGCUACUGGUGAACCUACAUGAGCUGGAGGAUUUGAUUAACGAGAGUAUUCAACCCGAGGAAGGUCCUAAGGGGACCAAAUAGAUAGGAAUCUUUUCUUUUUGCUUUAAGAAAUGUAAUAAGGCCAAUGGCCACUAGUGACAUUUUAUUCCUUGUUAUUUAGUGUCAUUUUGGGAUUCGUCUAAUUUUAUCAAUAAAAUGAGGCAUUUAGCAUUCUAAGUUCUCCAAAUCAAUUUGUCGCUAGGCCUACCUCGGGCACAACAAGGCUCCCAAAUUAUUACAUGAUUUAUAUCCUUGAACUAUGUGUUUAAAUAUCGCAACA
rnacentral:lncRNA from 1 species